CCCCCUCGUGGGGAAGGUAGAAGGUGGGGUCUGCCGGACGCGUGUUCCUGCCACCAGGUGCCCGCUCCCCGCGAGGCCGGCUCAGGAGCAGGUAGGUGGGCGGGGGCUCGCGUCUCUGUUUCCGGCGGGUCCUCGCCCUUGUCCACGCAGCAGGGCUGUAGUCCGGGGAGGGCAGUAUUCCUGGCUAGGCUGGGGCGCAUAGGCGGUGCGAGUCGAGGAGAGACGCGGUGCCCGCGCUCAGCCGUGCCCUAGCAGCGGGAACAGUUCUGCAGUGAGCGAUCGGUGCUCUGGGGUAUUGUUUCCGCUGCCAGGGUAAGUCUGGGACUGCCGUUCGGGCCUACCCAGCAGGUAAGUCUUAGGCCAUCGCCUGCGGUGUCGGCCCCGGGAGCAGCGAGACCCAAGAUUGCAUCAAACGUUUGCCCCGUCUCUGCAUAUGUGACUGGACGUGAAUGAUGCUUCAUUUUGGCACCCCCUUUCCCUGCUCAGGUAGAAUGUAAACAAUUGAAAAAAAUCCCUUCCCAAUCAGAAUACCACCCACAGGACAACGAAGAAAACCUAUCUUCAGUCCCCACCCACGAAAUGCUGGGGGGUGGGGAGGACUGGAAAAGGAGUAAGGGGAGAGGAAGGGUGAGCAGCUGCAAGAAGUCUUUACACCUCUCUGCGGUUCCUGGUAAACGCGCUCAUGUCCUGGGGGCGGGACCUGAGCUGUCGAUUUCAGGAGCCCUUCGUGACUUCAAAAGUCCUGGGCACUGUUGCUCAUGAGUGCUGCACAACUGUCGCCCUCUAAAGCCACCUCCAUCCCUCACUGGGCUGGCCUCCUGAGCCUUCGGUGAGGAAACGGGGUUCCGAGUUGCCCGCCUGAGAGCUUAACAGUCUGACUAGAAAAGGGCUAAUUCGCUUUCUGUGCAAAUCUCUUGAGCUAAUUAUUUAAUCUGAAACAUGGACAGGUAAAGGACCAUUGGCGGGCGUGGGGAGGGAGGUGUGGAAUCUUUCCCACACUUUUUGUCACCUUAAAGAAAAAAAAAAGACACCCAAACUCCUCUGGUCUGAAUGGGCUGCCUGGAACUGGGCUUCCCGGGGCCAGGAGUGGGCCCCUAGAAGUUUCCCAGUUUGGGGUGGGGCCGGGGUUCCGAAGUCUAGAGCUGGGAGUCGGGUUCAGCGGCCCGAGACGCUGGCUCUCCCAGACUCCCUUGCGCCGGGGCAGUGCGCGGGGGCGGCUCGGGUCCCUCCCGGGCCGGCGGGGACCCUCAGGCUCCCGGGGCGCCGCCCACCAGCCCGACCCGGCGGCCUAGAAAUCCCCAUUCUGCUCCCGCCUCGCCCCGGCCGGCCAGCGCAGGGCCCCUCAGGCCCGCAAUCUCCAGGCUCAAACGGCGAACAGGUCCCCGCAUCCGCCUGCCUUUGCACUUGGGGGUGGGAGAGCCACCUUGUGACGCCCCUUCUGCCUCUCACCAGCUUCCCCCUUUCUCCCCGUCCUGUACGGUUCCCCCUGGAGCCAGAAGGAAGCCCGGUGCCAGCCAGCCUUCCUGAAAGACCAAGCCCGCGCCAUCCGGCUUCCUCCAGUGGACGCCUGCAGGACCCAGUCACAGGAAUGUUUUUCUUGAAGGCAUCCAGCAUCUCCAGUUAGCAGUACUGAUUUUUUUUCCCCCCAACAAAGGAACACUACAUCAACACUGUUGGCGGGGACCUGGACACAGAAGACUCCUGUUUCAAGAAAAUACAAUCAUCUCUCAAAGGCUGUAAUUUAUAUGCAUUUUAAAACUCUAGGCAUUGAAAACCACCCAAGUGUCCCAAAUAGAAGGGUAAUAUAUAAUCAAUCACUCAGUGUAAUAUUAUACAUCCUUUAAAAAUGUUAUUGGGAAAUGUUUUAUGAUCUGUAAGUCCAAGGAAUCCUCUCCCACCAUUUCUUUCCCCCCGCUGUUCCCCCAUACCCACACUUCUUUGUUCCAAUUGGCAUGUAAAUUUGGUUUUCCCGCCAAAUGAGUCAGUCAUGAUGGGAACCUCAACUGAUUUGAACAGAUGUGUGUCAAUGUUACUUGGAAAACUAGAUGUCAAUAACCAGGGUCACAGAAAAAGGCAGUGGUCACAACUCUGUAAAAAUGUAUGCAUGCACACAGACAAGAACUAAAGUGGAACCCCACACAGGAAAACAGUGGGCUGUACUCCAGUGCUGGGACAUUGAAUGACUGUAUGCUGCUUUUGAUUUCCGUUAAUAUGGGCAACUGUCCAAUUAAAAAAAAAACUCCUAAGGACUCUGCAGUGCAAAUUGUUUUGCUGAUUGUUUUAAAACACCAUACCUAUCAACUCAUCAAGGCAAAUGGGGCAGCGGGGGACUGGGUUCGUUCCCUGAAUCCUGGACUGCUAUAGAGCUCAGGGCAACAUUUGCAGAAAACCUGAGCCUAUGAGAUGGGAGUUAUAGGCAGCUUUCCUGAGGCUGUGUAAGAUGAAAAUAAAACUAGGUUCAAAAAAUAUGUUUGGGGAAGAUCAAUGAGUUUAUCGAUAGAAGUUAAAAGACUUGAGUCUGGCUAUAUGCAAGUUGGCAUAUGUUUUUAGAGAUCUUUUUUCCCAUUGGCCUGCAGUAUGACUUAAUCUCAUAACCCUAGAAUUUUAUAUAUGCAUUUGUAUUUAGAGUUAUUACAUGACUCUUAAGCAAAAAAGAGUAUAUAUACAUCAAGUGUAGCAAACGUGUAUCUCCCUGCCCCCCUACAUCCCACUCAGGCCCACCCAUUAGUUACUCCUCAGUGAAUAAACAAGGAUCGGCUAGCUCUUUCAUAAUAUUUCACCUAUCUGCCACCUUUUCCCUCCUCCCCAGCUCCACAGCUGAUCUCUUUGGCAAGUUCAGCCAGGCUUAAAACCCCUGUGGGGAUAGUAAAUUGAGCCAAGAGGGAGGAGCCCCGAAAGACUUCCACUUCCUGUGGUUGCUUGGGCCUUUGAGCACUCCCCCUUCCACUACUGAGCUCUAUAAUCUGAGCAGUUGGUGGGUGUUUGGAAACAUGGCCUUGGCUCCACUGCUGGAGUCAGGGAGCUCAGAACACUGCAGCAACCUGCCAGUGAGAGUCUGGGUUGCUUUGAAGCCUGAGUCUCCCAAGGCAGCUCCCUCACCUGUUCCCCCAUGUCCACCCCCACCUGCCAUCCAGACAAGACUAUUACCCUAAGACCAGACCUUCUAAAGGCGUGGCCACAGAAUCAUCAGUAUCCCAACAUCUUGCCUUUGUAUCGUGUGUUUACAUACUUUUCCAAAUACUUUGUUUUUUCUUUUUUUUCUUUUUUUAAUUUGUGACAACCUUGAAAGACAAACAGAGUUAAGGCAGUCCAAAAAAUAAUUACAGACAAGAAAACUGGGGCCUCUGGAGGUUAAGGAUUUGUCUGAGGCUACUCUCUGGGGGCUCUUCCUCCAGGCCUCAUACUGUGUUCCUUAUGUCAUUACCUGUUCAUCAGAACCGACUAUGCAGUAGUGACCAGAGCAGGAAAUGGAGGUGAAUGUGUUUGGUUACAAAAAUUCCCGGUGAAACUGGCUAGUCUUAUGAUGAGCUUUGGCCUAUACAUUGGACACUUCCUGGGUGAGGCCCAAGAUUGGCCCCAGGAUUACUAAAUAGUGACUAUAAGUUACCCAGCCGUGUACAAGUCAAUCUGCACAAACCAAAAAAGCAUGAUUUAAAUUCAUUUUAAACCUCUGUCCCAUGUUUGUUAUUUUCUGUAGAUUCAAUCAAAUUAUCUUAAGGAAACAAAUGAAGUGUCAAGCUAUAGGGGUUGACUUAAUCUAGUCACUCACUCAAUGGAACCUUUUUCAGCCAUUGCAAAUAAUAAUGAUAGAGAAUAUACAGAAACCUGGAAAAUGCUUAUGAUAUCAACUUAAAAAAAAUCAGGGCCACAAAAUCACAUGGACACCAUGAUUGAAAAAUAGGAGCAGAACCUGGAGGAAACCUGCAAAACAGACAUACUUGUUACUUAAGGGUGGUGGGAUUAGAGCUGAAGUUUCUUCUUUCUCUACUUUUUCAUGGUUUUGUGUGUGUGUGUGUGUGUGUGUGUGUGUGUGUGUGUGUGUGUGUGUGAGAUGCCACGUUUUCUUGUUAUGUUGUCAAAAUAUAAUUCUCUAAAAAGUCUUUAGGGGUCAUGGGUGAUACAGAAAUUUGGGAUCGGUCAAGGAUGCACAGAUCUCAGACAUCUCGGGGAUCAUCAUGUCACGAGAUACCAGUGUGCACUUGUGACAGAUUGAUAACUGAAAGGUCUGGGAGCCACUCAUCUUCAUAGCAAAACAUGUGGUAAGUAUUACAAGACGAAUCAAUGAAAAGAUCAGGAGGAAAGUGGGCCCUAAGCAAAGAAGAAAGGGGUUGCUAUGGGAUGGGGUGGGAGGAUGAGUUGUGUUUUCAUAGGAGUGUAAUGGGAAUGCCUUUAUUUGUGUCUUUAUUGCUUUAAAUGUUUGUUGAAUGAAUUGAAACUUACAUAAGGUAUAUGAUUUUAUACUUGUGCUAGAAUGCUAAAAUAAAGAAUUUAUGCUCAAGCAAACAACUGGAAAACACUUUGCUAUAAGCAUUACAGACACAGGGUCAUUUUUAGUAUGUUGAGUCCACACAAGUGGUCAAGAAAAACCAUAAAAACUACAUGAACAGAAAGCCCCAGUUAAAAAAAAUGCAUAAAGAUGCUCAUUUCAAUAUUUUAAGGAUGGAAGUUAGGAACAUCCUGAAUGACCAACAACAAAGGAUUAGACAAAUAAAAUACAGCGUAGCUAGCUAGUACAAUAGAAUAGGAUGCUUUCAUGUAAAAUAAUGUUUCUGAAAGUAAUUUUCAUGUCAUGAGAAUGUGCUCCUGAUAAAACAUUUAGCGAUUGAAAAAAGGUGCAAAAUAUUUUCCCAUCUCUGCAAUAUAGGUAUAUAGGGAGCAUUCUGUAUGAAUAGUUUUGUAUCAACAUACAGAUAAAAGGCUAGGAGGAAACAUAUAAAAACUUUAUUGUGAUUAUCUCUGAGUUGUGGUAUAAAGGUGACCAAAGAAAGAUGCUAAACUAUUUUUGCGAUGUGUUCCUAAUAUGUAAUAUAAAUGUAUUGGGGACAUUUUGCAUUCAUAGUUUUGUAUCAAUAAUAUGGGGAAAAGAGGCUAUCAGGAAGUAUACCAAAAGUCUAGAGGUGGUUAUCGCUGACUUGUGUCACUAUAGGCAAUCAAAAACGAUACUAAACUGUUUUUGCGAUGUGUUCCUAAUAUGCACUAUAAAUAUAUUGGGAACAUUUUGCAUGUAUAGUUUUGUAUCAAUAUACAGAUGAAAAGAUGGAGGGAAUAAGCAAAAAAUCUAACAGCGGCUAUCUGUGGUUUACUUCUGUGAUAAAUGUAAGAUGCAGAAUUAUUUUUGCAAUAUGUUCCUGAAUAUGUAAUAUAAGUGUAUUGGGAUCAUUUUGCAUCCAUAGUUUUGUAUCAACAUAUGGAGAAAAGUCUAGGAAGAAAUAUACCAAAACUUGUAACAGUAUUAUAGUAUAAAAUUAUAGGUAAUGUUUGUUUUUCUCUUUAUACUUUUAUGUAUUUUCCAAGUAAUAUUUGCAUAAACAAUAAAAUGCAUUGCUUUUAUAGCAAUAAUAAAACAUUUUAUUUUUA
rnacentral:lncRNA from 1 species